GGAUACCAAGAGCAAACAGUAGAUCCGCUGCAGCCAAGUUCACCAGACACAAGUUCGUGGGCGUUCUAAUCUCUUUGUACCUGAGCACACAAACGGCCAUCCCAACAUUGACAAUGAUCGCUGCGAUGAACAACAAUCUACCCUCAUAGUUGCUCAACGAUUUCUUCCAUCUAUACUGUGAUAAACAAAGAAUACAAGAAAAAAGAAAAUAAAAAGAGAAAUAUAUUUGUCAUUAAUUAACAAUCUAUCAAGUUAAUCGACUAGAUUCAUUUCCGAAACUUAUCAAUAUGCAAGCUUGCAAGAAGAAGAUUCUCGAUAGAAGACAUUUUUAUCGGCCUUCGAGGUAUUUUUAAAAGUAAUUACUCUUAAAUCCAUGAGAUGAAAGCUCGACCUUCGAACUAAAUAUCUACAAUAGAGAAAAAAGAGACAUGAUGUCUACCGUCAUGGUCACGGUUUAUCUGAAGAAACCACGUCCUUCCAAUUUACUAUGCUUUCGUUCUGAGCUUAUUAAGUUAUUAUUAGAUACUAACACGCGACAAGAUCUAUGUAUGCUUGAUUUUAUUUUUCUUAGACUCUACGACAUAUUUUCUUGGUAUUCUAUUUACGAGUUUAUGUAUUGCAAACAUUUAUUUUAUCGGUAUAGUAUCUUAGUAAACAUAAUUUUCAUUUUCGCGUUAUAUAUAUCUUUUUUUAUUUUGAUUUAAGAUAACAAGAAAUUCGUUUUUCGAUAUAAAAGUCUAUCUUCUCCCUUUUUGAUCAAGAACAAAAAGCUUGGAAAAACAAGAAGAAAAUCGUUCGGUAAUAAAUCUGCAAAAGGGAUCUCGUAAAAGCUUUUUUUAAUAUCCGAAAGAAACGAUUUUCAACGGAAUCGAAGCUUCAUUUCUCUUCAACAAAUUGUCGUUUUCUUCUCGGUAUUAACUCUGUAUUUUACACACACCCACGUAAAUAUAUAUAGAUAUCUAUUCUUGUUUAUCUUACCGCAAACGACUAACUAGACAUUUAAACCAGUAAACGUUGCUUCGAAGAUUUAUCACUGUUAAGAAAUCCGCAUGCAUCGCUCAUCACCAAUUCUUGCUUUUCUUUGCCCACAUCAUCAAAUUUGAGAUUUUCGUCUAUCCUUUGCUCGAUCUUUGGUAAAUAUACCAAUUUUACGUUCUAUAUACAUCCAUAGAGAAAUAUUCUAAUUAAGUAAUUAAGUUUUAAACUUUUUUAAACUUUUUACAAACAAAAAAGAAAAAAAGAUACGGUCUCAGAUGAAAUAGUUGCGCAAAAGAUUUUCAUAUUGUUAAGCACAUAAUCUGCAUAUAAUUAAAGUAUGAACGAUAGAAAUGCGGUAAGAUAAUUGAUUCUAAAACUUUGAUAUCUCCGCUUUUAAUUAAUUUUAUAAGGAAGUCAUGUCCUUUGGUUGAAUUUCAAAAAAAAAAGAAUAUAUAUAUUUAUUUAUAAGGCUUUACACACACACACACACACACACACACACACACACACACACACAUAUAUGUACAUAAAUUGUGUUGCUAAGAAUUCAUUAUGAGGGUUGCAUUAUCAAAACGAAAUGAGGCAUCGAUGCAUUCGACAAGUACAUCCGAUUUGAAUAGUAAAUUUCCCGCGUUAUUUCAUUUAGAAUGGCGGGAAUCAAAGGCGCCAUCUUGCAAUUUACAAUAGCAAUGUUAGAAUGAAAAAAAUUGUUAUUUAUUUGUUAAAAUGAAUAGAAUAUGCAAUAUAUUUAAAUAUAUUAUCGGAUAACAAAAGACAAUUGUUUAUUAAAUACUGAUGAAAAUAUAAUUAUUCUAUCGAAUGAUAAUCAAAUGUCAAUUAAAUGAAAGAAGGAUAAGCUAUUAUACCUAAUACGAAUUGAUAAUUAUCAUCCUACGCCUAUGUUAUUUGCUCGUAUCAAUGUCGUGUGAUAAGUGAUUACGAUUUUCUAUAUCUCUGCAUAUAUGUUCUCACAUUAAGACUACAAAUAUAUACUUUACUUUACUAGCGUAAUAUAAAUCUUGUCAAAAUGUUUAAGCUUAGCGUCGUACAUGGUUAUGGUUGUUAAUUAAUUACACGCCAAAGUGAACUUUUGGGAAACGGGAAAGAUUAUUCUUUUAAAAAAAAAAAAGUAUUUUCUUUUCAUUAUCAUUUACCCCUUCGAAUUACUUCAUCCGUAAGUUUCUAUGAAGCAUGUAAUCAACGUACAUCGAUCAUGAGUCCUGUUUUAUCUUUUAACAUGAAUAUAUCGAAAAAGCAUCGACUUGUAUAAUUGAUAAAAGUGGAGGAGCAUUACGUGUGUAUGUGCAUUCGUUACAUUUAGAUUCUUCCUUUAUACAUUUAUACAGACACAUUAAAUAAUCAUUCACUUGGUAAA